ACUUUUAAAAUGUAGAUGAUGCUUGUUUUAGAUAAUCCUUCACUCCUUGCUUUUUUGAGCUUCAAAUACAAGCUACCCCUUCUUUUCAAAACCCUAAUUCCUCUUUCUCUUCCAAUCUCAUUUCUCAAGAUCGGCUUCGCUGCUUCCUCAGGAAUUAUGUCUUUUGUGCGGAAUUAUCAAGCAGAAGAUUGUAGUUUACAUAGUGGUUACUGGUCCACCUUUGAUGGAAACAACUUUGGCAACAGCAAUAGGAAAAGAAGCAGGAACAAUUAUUAUAACAGGAACUGUAACAUUUACAAUGACAACCGGACAAAAUUUGGGGACCAUGGUUGCAACUUUAAUUUUUACACAGCUGAUCAUGCUAAUUAUGUUAGAUAUGAUGCUGUUCCAUCAUCUUUGAAAAGGAGAAAAUAUUCAGUGCCUGCUUGGCAAGAAAGCCAGCAAUACUAUGUUCCACCCAUGGUCCAUGACAAUAUCCCUUCAUCCUAUAAUUUCCAAGGUCCUCCUACAAGAUCUGAUGGUGAUGCCUCUACAUCAGCUAGCUGCAAGCGUGAUUGCUCUAUUUUUGAAGAUGAUAAGCCUGUCUUCAUGUCUAGGGACGAAAUUGAUAGACACUCUCCAUCAAGAAAAGAUGGUAUUGAUGUACAUCAUGAGACACACUUGCGGUACUCCUAUUGUGCCUUCCUUCAGAAUCUUGGAAUGCGUCUUGAGCUGCCUCAAAACAUCAUUGGGACAGCUAUGGUUCUGUGCCACCGUUUCUUUGUUCGACAAUCACAUGCUUGCCAUGAUAGAUUUUUGAUUGCUACUGCUGCUCUUUUUCUUACUGCAAAGUCAGAGGAAGCUCCACGUCCUUUGAAUAACAUAUUGAGAACAUCCAGUGAAAUUUUACAUAAACAAGAUUUUGCUUUGUUGUCCUACCGGUUUCCUGUUGAUUGGUUUGAACAGUAUCGGGAGCGGGUGCUUGAGGCUGAACAACUGAUACUUACUACUCUAAAUUUUGAACUCAAUGUGCAACAUCCAUAUGUACCUCUUACAUCUGUUCUUAACAAAUUAGGUCUAUCAAAGACUGUUUUGGUGAAUCUGGCAUUAAACUUGGUCAGUGAAGGGAUCUUCACAAGAUUAGCGUGCUGGCCUGUAUGAUAUUCUUAGCUGGCGGAUUGAUAUGCUGUUCAUCAAAAGUUUUGUUUUACAUCUGAAGUUGAACUGCUGAUGUCUAAUGGAUUGCUUUAUCUUGAAAUAUGUCCCAUCAACUUUUAUUUCGGCUAGCCAAGCUAGCCACAAGAGCCCUAACCUGCCAACCCAGAUUUUGUCUCUAACCCUCAACACCUUCUAGUUUAUGCUGAUUUUCAUUAGCCAAAUGGGCUCUAUAUAAUUUUAGUAACUUGGGUUGAAAGAAGAUCAUAAAGUGAUUUGACAAUCAGUAACCAAAAAAAUGAAAGAGAGAAGCAAACAGCCUGAAAUUCAAACAUGGAAUGAAUCUUUUAUUGUUCUGAACAAGUUUUGGUCAAUAAUUACCCAUUGGUCAAAAUGAGGCUUUUGAACUAGAUUGAACUUAUUAUGUGGAGGAAAAUAGAGGUCUUCUCUACUGCUGGUUUAUUUUUUACUAAAGAGUCAGAGUAUCUCUGGUACUGUGUUUUUGUUUAUUCUCUUUAGUACCAUAUGUUAUCAAUGGCGAAUGGAAGAAUUAGGCGGAAGGCCUAAAUUCUGUCAUAUAAACACGGCAUGGCAGCCUAUGGUGCCACCAUAGUUGGCCUCCCUUUACAAAUUGCCUAUGGCUAAAAAUCCACCCUGCCAAUUCUGCCAUGGCUCCGACAUUUAACAAUGGAUUUGGGAGAAAACUGUUUCUAGGACAAAUCUGCUGAUAAAAUUCUCUUUUGAAGUGUUUCCGUUGUGGUCAGUUUAAUUGCCAACUUUUGGCUUUGUGAAACAUUUCUUUUCUUAAUUUCCCCCUCAUUUCCAACCUCAAUGAAUAUUUUGCUAACUCAAAUGGAUUAGUUAAAUCAUAUUUGUUUUUCCCCCCAGGUUUUUUAAAUUUGAAUUUAAUUUUGUUCCCUUUUCAAUCUAUAAGAUGCUUUCACUUUAUCCAAUAAUUUAUUGAUGCAUCUAAAAAAGAGUUUGACGUGACAACCAUGGCACAAACAAAGGCUUUGUUGUUGUUUGUUUGUUAACUGAAAAUUGUGAGAAUUACUUCCUUGUAGUGUUGAUUUGUUUAGUUUUAACAUUAGGCAUUGUUCAUGAUUUUGAUAGGUUCUUCUUGUGUGUUAAAACAUAGAUUGCGGAAGUUAUUGAAAAUCUGAAACGAGAAGCCAUUUAGUGUUCAACUUUUGAAGUAGAUGUCCUAAAGCUUAAAUAUUUGACACUAUCAUUCUAUGAUUUUGCCCCUCUUACUCAUAUUUACUGAAUAUAAUUAUGGUUAUGUCACCCCCCCCCAAAAAAAAAUCAUGCUGAAGUUGGCUCACACUUUACUUUCCUUCAUGUCAUUUGGCAUCUGGUGGUCCUUUCUUUAGAUGUCUGCCUUAGUUCUUUGAAAAUGUUAUUGGUUGGAGAGGUUGAUCUUUAUUAUGAUUUAAAUGCCUCAGCAUCUUCAUGAAAUAUCAAUACUAAUGGUACCAGUGUUAUUUGUUGGUAUGGCUGGCCUGCUAAAUUUCAAUGGAUUAUGCAUAGAAGAGAUUUUGCUUCUGUCUUUAGUUAAAUUGCUCAAAUGUUUUGAUGACUCCAAAACCUUCUUUGUUGGAUGGGUUGUUGUGGACAGUGGCUCUGUCUUUAUGCUUUUAAUUCUUAAGGAAAUUUUGUACUAUUGUAUGGUGUUGGUCCUAGCAGCCUUUCUUUUUAUCCUUCUUCUCCAAUAUGAUUUACAGUUAAUACCUUCAUUGCUUCUGAAAGUUCUGCACAACUAGUUUGAAAGUUAUAAUGUACUGGAUUUCCUGUGCUCAACCUCGAAAGACAAGGAGGAUUAAAAAAGUGGAACUUUUCUUUUUCCUGUUCUGUUUUUAUCCCUGUUCCUCUUAAAAAGGGUCAGUGGGUAUUUCAGGUGGCUGUGAUGUAGUGGUUCUAUGCAGCCUACAUACCUUGUCAUAAGUCGAAAAUAUUCCAUUUAAAGGGUAAUCAUGUGCAAAUUUGGGCUUUUGAAAAAUAGUGCUAGACUGGUUAGGGUUUGCUUGUAGAAGUUUCUUUUUCUUUUUUGGGAAGGGGGUUGCCCCGAAGCCGUUUAUCGUUACACCCUAAGGUCACAAUAAGGAUCUCCCAAUUGUUGAAACAGUUAGAGAUGUGCUUGAACAGUGAGACAUAUUUGUCAAUACUAAUCAAUCUUUAUAAAUUUGUCCUUGUGCCUUCCACGUAUGCCAAAGUUUGUACUAAACUCAUCAACUAGCUUUCUGCUUCAAAUUGUUAUAUUUGGGCAAGGGUAAUCGAUAAUUUCUCUUCUUUUCUUUUUGCUUUCUUUUUUUGAUGUUAUUGUCUAGUGAGUUUUGAACUUCUAAUUUACACUUGCAACAUGAACAUUCAUUGGAUUUGUUCUAUAGUGUGUUGAAUAAGUUGCAUUCAUAGUCAACAUUCCUAUAUGCAUGGUAGCUAGGCUCUCCAGGUCAAAAUAUUGAGAAGAUAUGGCAUUGGCAUUAGCUUUGAAAGAUUCAAUUGUUAGCAAUAUGCAGCACAGCACUCCAUGCAUGCUUUCUCUUUUUAGUUGCAUAAAUUUCUGGAGUUUAGAGCCCCCACAGCACAGUUGGGUCUGGAAGUCUGAUAAAUUCUCUAGAUGAGUAUAAAAUAUUGCUAUAGUUUGGUACUCUUAUCAGCAAUCCUGCACAGAUUCUUGGAAUUGUAUUCUUCCUGAGUUGCUGCUUUUCUAGUUGAUGACAUGAUCUGUCAUGGUGGGAACAUAUGCUAAGUUGGUGCCUCGGAUGGUUAGUUUGACUAUUUAUGAACCUCUAUUGUAUUAAGCAAUGCUGGUUGUAGUGGUGUCUGUCUUGUAUGGUCUACUGAUGCAGAAAAUUGUUUUGCAGGCUUCGGAGUUCUCUGUGGCUUCAAUUUAAACCCCAUCAUAUUGCUGCUGGAGCUGCAUAUCUUGCUGCCAAGUUUCUGAACAUGGAUCUCGCAGCUUAUCAGAACAUCUGGCAAGAGUUCCAGACAACACCAUCCAUACUUCAAGCUGUCUCGCAGCAAUUAAUGGAGCUCUUUUAAAAGUAUGGAAGAACUGGAUUACAGCAUCCUUCUUAGUGGAGUAGAUUUUGAGUAUAUAUAAUUCAAAAUGUCACAUACUUUGGAGGGAGAGAUUAGGAACUACGACAUAGGAUUUUAGUGGGUGUGACCUACGGAUUUUUAUGUUUUACCAACUUCUCUGAAUUCUCUGCUAAAAUGUCGAGCAUGCUUUGCGUUCAUUUUUGUUGAUGCUUUGUGAUCUACUGUCAGUGUCAUAAUAUCAAUCAUGGUCGUGUUUAGUGAAUGAAGAGCCUAUCCUUGAAAGCACACAGAUUUGUAACACGUGUUCGCAACAGUUAUUGGGUUCGGAGGUUAAAAUUUA